AACGAACGCUGGCGGCAGGCCUAACACAUGCAAGUCGAGCGAAGCCUUCGGGCUUAACGGCGGACGGGUGAGUAACGCGUGGGAACGUGCCCUUUGGUACGGAAUAGCCCCGGGAAACUGGGAGUAAUACCGUAUGUGGUCGAGAGACGAAAGAUUUAUCGCCAAAGGAUCGGCCCGCGUUGGAUUAGGUAGUUGGUGGGGUAAUGGCCUACCAAGCCGACGAUCCAUAGCUGGUUUGAGAGGAUGAUCAGCCACACUGGGACUGAGACACGGCCCAGACUCCUACGGGAGGCAGUAGUGGGGAAUCUUAGACAAUGGGGGAAACCCUGAUCUAGCCAUGCCGCGUGAUCGAUGAAGGCCUUAGGGUUGUAAAGAUCUUUCAGUGGGGAAGAUAAUGACUGUACCCACAGAAGAAGCCCCGGCUAACUCCGUGCCAGCCGCCGCAGUAACAC
rnacentral:rRNA from 1 species